rnacentral:rRNA from 1 species
AGAGUUUGAUCCUGGCUCAGGAUGAACGCUAGCGGCAGGCUUAAUACAUGCAAGUCGUGGGGCAGCGCGGGUAGCAAUACCUGGCGGCGACCGGCAAACGGGUGAGGAACAUGUACGCAACCUUCCUUUAACUGGAGAAUAGCCCCUCGAAAGAGGGAUUAAUACUCCGUAACGUUUCGACACAGCAUUGUGUUGAAAUUAUAGCUCCGGCGGUUAAAGAUGGGCGUGCACCUGAUUAGAUAGUUGGCGGGGUAACGGCCCACCAAGUCUGCGAUCAGUAACUGGUGUGAGAGCACGACCAGUCACACGGGCACUGAGACACGGGUCCGACUCCUACGGGAGGCAGCAGUAAGGAAUAUUGGUCAAUGGACGCAAGUCUGAACCAGCCAUGCCGCGUGGAGGAUUAAGGCCCUCUGGGUUGUAAACUCCUUUUAUCUGGGAAGAAAUGCUUCGAUUCUUCGAAGCUUGACGGUACCAGAGGAAUAAGCACCGGCUAACUCCGUGCCAGCAGCCGCGGUAAUACGGAGGGUGCAAGCGUUAUCCGGAUUCACUGGGUUUAAAGGGUGCGUAGGCGGGCAGGUAAGUCAGUGGUGAAAUCUCCGGGCUUAACCCGGAAACUGCCGUUGAUACUAUUUGUCUUGAAUAUUGUGGAGGUAAGCGGAAUAUGUCAUGUAGCGGUGAAAUGCUUAGAUAUGACAUAGAACACCAAUUGCGAAGGCAGCUUACUACACAACAAUUGACGCUGAGGCACGAAAGCGUGGGGAUCAAACAGGAUUAGAUACCCUGGUAGUCC